UACGUAGGAUGCAAGCGUUGUCCGGAAUUAUUGGGCGUAAAGAGCGCGCAGGCGGUCUGCCAAGUCAGAUGUGAAAGAGGCCGGCUUAACCGGCAAGGGUCAUUUGAAACUGACAGACUAGAGUGCAGCAGAGGAUAGCGGAAUUCCCGGUGUAGUGGUGAAAUGCGUAGAUAUCGGGAGGAACACCAGUGGCGAAGGCGGGUCUCUGGGUAGUAACUGACGCUGAGGAACGAAAGCGUGGGUAGCGAACAGG
rnacentral:rRNA from 1 species